rnacentral:misc_RNA from 1 species
AACUUUUGGCAAUGGAUCACUUGGCUCUCGCAUCGAUGAAGAACGCAGCGAAAUGCGAUAAGUAAUGUGAAUUGCAGAGUUUAGUGAGUCAUCGAAUCUUUGAACGCACAUUGCGCCCGCCGGUAUUCCGGAGGGCAUGCCUGUUCGAGCGUCACACAAACCCCUCGGGCUCACGUCCGGUGUUGGAGGUUCCGCCUGGUUCCCCAGGCGGUCUCUGAAAGCUAGCGGCGUCGCCGCCUGCCGGUCUUUGCGAGGUAAAUAAAUCCGCUCACGACCGCUGGCGCUGGCUGCCUUGUUACCCAUGGAAAUGACCUCGGAUCAGGUAGGGCUACCCGCUGAACUUAAGCAUAUCAAUAAGCGGAGGCU